rnacentral:misc_RNA from 1 species
AACGCACAUUGCGCCCUCCUUCGUCUGGGGGGCAUGCCUGUUCGAGCGUCCUUUGAAACAUCUUCCGGGCCUUCGGUCCCGGGUAAUGGGCCCUCGCGCGGUCCUUGGCGCGUGGCCUCGAAGAAGCGGGCCUCGGGACCUUCGUAGAGGUGAGCCUCGGCGCGAGCUUUCGAGCCCAGGUCGAGACGCCUCUGGUCCCGUCGGUCGGGUAGGCUCUUUCCAAGGUACGGACCUCGGAUCAAGCAGGAUCACCCGCUGAACUUAA